CCUCAGACGCUCCUCAUCCCUGAUACAGACACCACAUCAGAGCAGCAGAGACCUCGUGAGACCAGCAGAGACCAGGACGUGUCCCGGAGACCAGAACCCAUGACAAAGAUCACAACCACCAUUCUCCAGAACCAUCAAGCAGCAGAAGAUUAAGGACGUGUGGAGAAAACAGACCAGGACUGGCGCUGCUGACGGAGGACUGACAGGGUGCAUUAUGGGUAAGACGAUCACAAGAAAAGGAAGUCCAAAUCUUCACACCCCUCCACCCCCCUCCUGCCUGUGGCCCCUGGUGCAGUGCUGCAUCUCUGGUCAGUUGGUAGUCUGAGAUGAAGCACUGUAGCUCGGGACGUGGGACCAAAACCUCCACCAGGUGAACACGUGUCCAGGUCUCCGAGAGUCCACCUGAGACGGGUCUCUCAGGGGACACAGUUUAUCUUUAUUCUGUUAAACAUUUUAUCAACAUUAUUUGUGAAUGUUCUGCGAGUAAAGAUGAACUUCAAUAGAGUUUGAUGAAUAAUUAAAUAUGUUCAGAUCAACGAUGAUACAGAAGAGAUCCUCCUCUCUCCUAGGGUCCAGUUUUCCCAGGAAUCCCUUGACCAAUCAGAAACGGGGAUUCCUGGAAAUACUGUUCUUGGGGGCGGGGCUUUUCAGCAGCUCAGCUUCAACCUGUUACUGUGUGCAGUAUGGUCGUAUUAUUGUGCGUUUGUGUCAUGUCACAUGUCUAUUGUGUGAGUGUACGAUUAUUGACGAGUUGUUAAUAUUAAACAAAAGUAAAAAUGUU